GCACUUUGAUUUGAUUCUUCGGAUGAAGAUUUUUGUGACUGAGCGGCGGACGGGUGAGUAACGCGUGGGCAACCUGCCUUACACAGGGGGAUAACAGUCAGAAAUGACUGCUAAUACCGCAUAAGACCGCAGGACCGCAUGGUCCGGUGGUAAAAACUCCGGUGGUGUAAGAUGGGCCCGCGUCUGAUUAGGUGGUUGGCGGGGUAACGGCCCACCAAGCCGACGAUCAGUAGCCGACCUGAGAGGGUGACCGGCCACAUUGGGACUGAGACACGGCCCAGACUCCUACGGGAGGCAGCAGUGGGGAAUAUUGCACAAUGGGGGAAACCUUGAUGCAGCGACGCCGCGUGAGCGAUGAAGUUUUUCGGUAUGUAAAGCUCUAUCAGCAGGGAAGAAAAUGACGGUACCUGACUAAGAAGCCCCGGCUAACUACGUGCCAGCAGCCGCGGUAAUACGUAGGGGGCAAGCGUUAUCCGGAUUUACUGGGUGUAAAGGGAGCGUAGACGGCCGUGCAAGCCAGAUGUGAAAGCCCGGGGCUCAACCCCGGGACUGCAUUUGGAACUGCGUGGCUUGAGUGUCGGAGAGGCAGGCGGAAUUCCUAGUGUAGCGGUGAAAUGCGUAGAUAUUAGGAGGAACACCAGUGGCGAAGGCGGCCUGCUGGACGAUGACUGACG
rnacentral:rRNA from 1 species